GACAGAGGGUGCAAACGUUGUUCGGAAUUACUGGGCGUAAAGCGCGUGUAGGCGGCUUGGCAAGUCGGGUGUGAAAGCCCUGGGCUCAACCUAGGAAGUGCACUCGAAACUGCUUGGCUUGAGUACUGGAGAGGGAAGCGGAAUUCUCGGUGUAGAGGUGAAAUUCGUAGAUAUCGAGAGGAACACCAGUGGCGAAGGCGACUCACUGGCCCGAUACUGACGCUGAGGCGCGAAAGCGUGGGGAGCAAACAGG
rnacentral:rRNA from 1 species